AACGUAGGAGGCGAGCGUUAUCCGGAUUUACUGGGCGUAAAGCGCAUGUCGGCGGUUUCUUAAGUCGGACGUGAAAGCGCCUGGCUCAACUAGGCGAGGUCGUUCGAAACUGGGAGACUUGAGGGUGGUAGAGGCGAGUGGAAUUCCCGGUGUAGUGGUGAAAUGCGUAGAUAUCGGGAGGAACACCAGUGGCGAAAGCGGCUCGCUGGGCCAACCCUGACGCUCAGAUGCGAAAGCUAGGGGAGAGAACGGG
rnacentral:misc_RNA from 1 species